rnacentral:lncRNA from 1 species
CUGUUCCUUUCUCUGUCCUAGACUACUUGUUAUGUGCAUCACUGUGGUGGCAGGACUAAUUAUUUCCAAAGCCGCACCAUGCUCAUGCCACACUACAAUAUGCUGUGUACAUGUGCCCUAAGCGAGUUAGCUGAAGCAUCUCUGCAUUCUAAACUGCUUUAAGAAAACAGUAAAGAAGAGGUCUUUCUGUUUUUCUCAGUUCUCUGAAGCACAUAGGAAGAAAGAAGGACUUGUUUUCCUGUUCCGUAGAAGCUUUUCAUAACCCCCCCAUAAGGCUCCAUAAGGGCAGGCUUUGGCUUGAAAUCACAGCUUCAGUGCUCAAGGUUUAUCCCUGUCUGCUUUCCCUUCAUCCUUCUUCACGUGGCUUAAGGAAAAAUUUGUUGUGCUCCAGUAUCCAACCUAUGUAUGAACAGACACAGCUUUUUCUAGCAUGCUCAGCAAACGUUUCAGUGUUCAUCAGAAAACAGCUCUUUGAAGUCAUUCUUUAUUACUCGAAACCUGUUUGUGGGUCUUGCUUGUUGAACAGAAUUGUUCUUACUCUUUGAUCGGAUGAAGUGCUUGAGCAAAUUCAGUGGAAACGUGCAUGUGGAGAUAUAAAAGUGUGGGGAUUUUUGUGCUUAGCUACCAAAUGUUAAUGUUUGCUGGAAAUAAAAUUGCUUGCAUGAAUGUCUUAAGCUCAACAUAAAAGGAUGAUGAUACACAAUUGAGGAAAAUGUAUUAUAAAUUAAAAACAAAAGCAAGCAAACAAACAAAAAUCAAACAACAAACCAAAAUAUUUUAAUGUAAUUUUCACAGUCCCGUUGCUCUUUGUAUCACUUCUGUGCUUCUCCGUAUUGCAGUGCAAUCUUCUGAAGCUGGAGAAUUAUUUCUCUUGAUUUAAUUUUGUAUAAUAUCUCAGUCCUCCUUUCUACUCAGGACUGGUCGCAUUCAUUCAAAUAAAUAGUCAGCUUCUAUAUUCCUAUUAUGUUCCAGGCACUUUUGCUGUUUCCAGUUGGAUUGGCUUGGGUAGUCUUCCUUCUUUUCUCCUUCACACCCACUCGUGAGCUGUAGAACAGUUGUCAUGUGGCAGGCUCAUGUGCUGCAUCUGGACACACAGUCAUGUUUGUAGACUGAGAUGGUAAGAGUGGUGAAGAGCAUUCAGUUCUAACCACCCCUGUUCCUGCAUUUAUGAUUUCCUCAGACUUUUGCAUCAUUAGAUGACUUUUAUUCCAGCAUUUGCUUUGCCUCAAAAAACUGAGGGAAAAUAAAAAUAUUUUAACAUAAACAUUGUUACAUAUUGUUGAAGAUCAGUUAUGAUGUAACAUGCCUGUAUGAACCAGUGAUUAUCUGAAAAUAGAUUAAUAUUAAUGAAGUUGAUAUUAGGUGUAUAAUUUAUUUGUAUGUAUUUUUGGAACUUAGAUAUGCCUCUGUAUGAAUGACGUGUCCGGCAGUUGAAUUCUUUGCCUCUAUGUGGUCAGCAGAAAAUAAAAAUAGUCAAAGUUCUUCUCUCAGCCCACAUAACUUAGCAAAGAAAAAGAGGCUUUGCAUUUUCCUUGUCUCUGUGUUUAAAAUCACAAAAAUUAAUAAAGAGAAAAGCUUUUGAAUCCCGUCAUUUGGAGAACAUUAAGUGAGAAUUUCUUUCCAGCAACGAUAAACAAGCCAUAACAUAGUCCAAUUUUCUGUUCCUGUAAGCUUCCCAUAUUUUUCACAUGUUUAAGCUUAUGUCAAUAUGGAAAUUAAGCAUCACAAAUGAAGGAAAACUUCAAACAACAGAGGCUUAUUUGUGUAGUAGUGGAUUUAGGGUUUUGUAACAAUUUUUUUUGGUACAAAAGAAAAUGCUGAUUCACUGAAAUCAAAUACUGGAGGGGUACACUGUGGUAAAUGACCCAACUGAAAAAUACUCCAAAUGAAUGGAUUAAAAUAGUUUGUUGU